CACUUUGUCACUGGAUCUUAGUUUUACUAUUAUAUUUGGCUCCUCAAAGGUUUUAAUUACUAUACCCUCCCUCCAAUCUCCAAAAGAGCAUACAAUGGUGAAAUGAGAAGCAAAAGGGGUUUGACUAUUGUGGGUAAGGGAGCAAAUUAAAGUGGUGCUGUCCACAUUUUCAUGGCUGUUCUUUGUGGCCUUAAAAUGAUGGAAAUAGAUUACCCAAGUCUAGGCAUUCACGCAGUCAUGAAUGUGGACCAUCUGAUUAGACGAGUGGGGAUAUAAGCUGAGAAAGAUCACGAAAUAGGUUUGGAAGGCAAAGUACUGAUCAGCUGAAUAUUUGAAGUCCAAAUUAUCAUGUCACUUCAGGAAAAGGAGUUUGAUGUUAGUUUUGGGAGCUACUAGGUGCUAGAAAGAAUAAGGAUCACCAUCUGCAUAAGCACAGCAACUAAUAUGGAUGGCAAUCUUUGACAUAUAAGCCACUCUAAAUAUCACACCACUAUUUGCUAGUCGAAGAAGUUUUAUGUUAGUUUUGAGAGCUACUAGGUUCUGAAAAGAAUAAAACAGAGCACUAUAUCUACCCAAGUAUGUUCAUAACGCGUGAGAAUGAUUUAUCAAACAAUUGUUUUUAGAAACACUAUCUGUUUAUCUUCUAAGAAAGAUUACAAUACUAAGAAGAAAGAAACAAUAGUCAUACAAUAUUUACUAAAUGCAAUAUCCAUCAUUCAAUGUUAAGCUAAAUACAAUAGUUGGACAUAUACUAUUACCUAAAUACAAUAGCUAUGUUACAUAUUGUUGCCUAAAUACAAUAUCCAUCAUUCAAUGUCAUAGAACAGUAUCUUCUAGUAGUUUGGCAUCCAACAAUAAAUAUCUAUAGAUGUUAAGCUUCAGACUGUGAAGAGUCUUGUAACAAUAUAAUAAUCAACAAGAGUCAUGUUGAUUAUAUAUAUUGAACUCCUCAAGCCCAACAAACAACCAUAUGAGUGGCCUUAUAAGUUUUCUGCAUAUUGCUUGCUGAGUACUUCCAUAUUAAUUAGUGCCU